rnacentral:rRNA from 1 species
GGCUCAGAUUGAACGCUGGCGGCAUGCCUUACACAUGCAAGUCGAACGGCAGCACGGGAGCAAUCCUGGUGGCGAGUGGCGAACGGGUGAGUAAUAUAUCGGAACGUGCCCAGUCGUGGGGGAUAACGCAGCGAAAGCUGUGCUAAUACCGCAUACGAUCUAUGGAUGAAAGCGGGGGACCGUAAGGCCUCGCGCGAUUGGAGCGGCCGAUGUCAGAUUAGCUAGUUGGUGGGGUAAAGGCCCACCAAGGCGACGAUCUGUAGCUGGUCUGAGAGGACGACCAGCCACACUGGAACUGAGACACGGUCCAGACUCCUACGGGAGGCAGCAGUGGGGAAUUUUGGACAAUGGACGCAAGUCUGAUCCAGCCAUUCCGCGUGCAGGACGAAGGCCUUCGGGUUGUAAACUGCUUUUGUACAGGAAGAAACACUCCCUCGUGAGGGAGCUUGACGGUACUGUAAGAAUAAGGAUCGGCUAACUCCGUG